rnacentral:rRNA from 1 species
UACGAAGGGGGCUAGCGUUGCUCGGAAUUACUGGGCGUAAAGCGCACGUAGGCGGCUUUCUAAGUCGGGGGUGAAAUCCUGGAGCUCAACUCCAGAACUGCCUUCGAUACUGGAGAGCUUGAGUCCGGGAGAGGUGAGUGGAACUGCGAGUGUAGAGGUGAAAUUCGUAGAUAUUCGCAGGAACACCAGUGGCGAAGGCGGCUUACUGGUCCAUAACUGACGCUGAGGUGCGAAAGCGUGGGGAGCAAACAGG